UGGUCCUCCUACAGGGUGUCCUUCUCCUCAACUUCUUUCAGCCUUCCCUAAUUCAACAACAGGGGUCAGCUGCUUCUGUCCAUUGGUUGGGUGUCCAUUGGUUGGUCUCCCCAACCUCCUACCUCCCAAGGUUGCCUGUUUCCAUUCUUUCUGCUGGCCCUCAGCCCAAAGCCCAAGUCUAAGGGGGUCAAUGGCCUCAACAUAAAACCAGAUACACUGAAUCUAAUAGAAGAGAAAGUGGGAAAGAGCUAUGAACUCUUGGCACAGGGAGGAAUAAUCAGGACUUCAUUGGCUCAGGCUCUAAGAUCAAGAAUUAAUAAAUGGGACCUCAUGAAACUGGAAAGCUUCUGUAAGGCAAUGAACUUAGUCAAUAAGACAAAUUGGCAACCUACAGAUUGGGGGAAACCUCUUCACUAACCCAACAACCAAAUAGAGGGCUAGUAUCUAAAAUAUGUAAAUAAACCAAACAAAAAUGGGGUAUAGAUCUAAAUCAAGAAUUCACAACAGAAGAAUCUUGAAUAGCAGAGAAAUACUUAAAGAAAUGUUCAAAGUCCUUAGUGAUCAGAAAAAUGCAAAUCAAAACGAGACUCUACCUUACACCAAUCACAAUGGAUAAGAUCAAAGACUCAGGUGACAGCAGAUGCUGGCAAGGAUGUGGAGAGAGAGGAACACUCCUCCAUUGUUGGUGGGAAUGCAAACUGGUACAACCACUCUGGAAAUCAAUCUGGAUGUUCCUCAGGAAAUUGGAAAUAGAUCUACCUGCAGACCCAGCUAUAACACUCUUGGACAUAUACCCAAAAGAUGCUCCACCAUACCACAGGGGCAUGUGCUCCACUAUGUUCAUAUCAGCCCUAUAUGUGAUAGCCAGGAGAUGGAAACAACCUAGAUAUCCCACAACAGAAGAAAGGAUACAGAAAAUGUGGUUCAUUUACACAAUGGAAUACUACUCAGCUAUUGGGAAUGAAGACAUUCUGAGUUUUGCAGGCAAAUAGACAGAACUAGAAAAUAUCAUCCUUAGUGUGGUAACUCAGAUCCAAAAGGACUUGCAUGGUAUAUACUCACUAAUAAGUGAAAAUUAGUCAAAAAUAUAGAAUACCCAAGAUACAGUCCACAGAACUCAAAAAGAUCAACAAGCUAGUCUCACUUCUAGACUUUGAAUUAAAGCUUUUCCUAUAGAAUCUACAUACAAAAGUGAGCCUUCCAAAUCUUAACUUCAUAAAAAAUGUGAUAUUUGUCUCCAAAUUGCUGAGGGAAUCUGAAUGAAAAGAUCUUCUGUUUGAUCUGGAGGGAGGGAGGGGGAGGGUUUCUGGGAGGGGUGGAAGGAGGAGAAACUGCAGUUGGGUUGUAAUAUGAGGAAUAAAGAAAAAAUGAAAACUAAAAUAAUAAAACAUCUGGGAUUAAGUCUCUGUCAACACUACCCCUCCCCUUUUAUUUUCCUAACAUUUUACCUCAAAUCAUGCAACUGUGAAAUAGUUUCAGAGUCUACAGUUUCACUCAUAUAGAAAAUCAUAAUUGGAGAAUAUAUUAUUAGUUUGGUCCUUCUGUAAUUCAGACUCAAAGGAGGGUGUGUGUGUGUGUGUGUGUGUGUGUGUGUGUGUGUGUUUGCUAAGUCAGCUUAUCUUAAAGUAGUAACAAUAACUAAAUCACCACUGAGAGGCUUAGAACUCAGUAGUUACUGGGUCCUUGAGGUUGGAUAUCCCAGUUUCUAAGUAGUCCCAAUUUGGCACUGAACAUCUGGAUUUUUCUUGAAGAACUCCUGUAAUAGGCUAAGUGAACUCUAAGGCAAAGGAGCAGCAGACCAAGUGAGCAAAAACAUACCCUCUUUUACCUGGACCACUACCAGAAAGUCUCACCUACAAUCAGCAUGGGUCUUCCAGCAUCAAUUAAGGCAGUCAGGACAGUUUUUCAGGUGAUGCUCCCUACUCAGGGAUUCUGACUUAUGACAAGUUGAAAUGAAAACAAGCAGCAAUAGCAAAGGAUGUGUUUAUUUGGCUUAUACUUCUCUAUCACAGUCUGUCAUUGAAGGAAACUGAGGCAGGAGUUCUGGACAGGAACCUGGAGGUAAGAAUUUAAGCAGAGAUUAUGGGAGAAUUCUGCUGACUAAGUUGCUCAGCUCCCCUUAAACAAGUCAGGACCAACUGCACAGUGGUGGAACUGUUCAUAAUGGACUGGGCCCUCCCCUACCAUUCAUUACCCAUUGUCCACAGGCCAGUCUGAUGGAGGCAAUUCUUCAAUUGUGGUUCCCUGUUCCCAGGAAACACUAGAACUAAUUUGCACUUCUUAUUUCACUAAAUACAUAUCUUCAGAUUGGUCCUCAAUUUAAGCUGAAUUAAAAAUUAAUUUUAAAAUGAAACUAUUUUGUCAAUGUAAAAUAGAAUUAUAGCAAUCAACUAGGAAAAAAUUAUCUUGUACUAAUUCAAGUUAAAUAUGGUUUGGCCCUCUCAGAAAACUUACAGUUAUAUAUUUAUUACAACCCUUGUUUUCAAAUAAGGAAGCUGAGAUUCAAAGAAGGAUGGGCUUGCUUAUGCUCACAUAAAGUUGGCCAAAUCUCUGAUUUCACUGGAUAGCAUGCGUAAAGAAUACCCCACUCUCCUCUGCUUCUAUCUUCUGAUGACUUCAUAGUAGCCAGGACUCUGAUAGUGAGGAUUAAUUACUAAUUUUCUAUCAAGGUUUUGACAUUUACCCUACUUUUAUAGAUUGUUCAAAGUCUGUAUGUUUAUAUUACAGGUAUUUUGCCUAUAGAUGAUUUUUAUCAUAAGAAACUGGGUUUCCAGGGAGGCCAAAUAUGCUGGCUGACAGGUAUAAUGAACGAACAUUAGCAAGCAGACUCAAGGUUUGUUAACAGGUUAUGUUGUAAGAACCAAGAGAGAACUGAAAAUCAGACUCAAGACUCAUAGACUUAGGAUAUGGACAAAAUUAAGGGAAAGAGAAGAGACAGGAGCAUCUGAAUGCUGUGUUGCAUCCAGCGGGCCUUUGGGAGGACAAGCCAAGUAUGUUUUUCUACUUAGAAUCUUAAGUGAAUCUCAUUUCUCCCUCUCAGGCUCUCCCAUCUUCCCCUCCUCCAUCCAGGCCUUCCCUUUAGGAAAUUCUGCUUUGCUUUUUAGAAUUACUAGAGUGAUAAACCCUAGCCACUACCAGGUCCUUCUAGAUUAUGUAGAUCCUCUCCUUGGUCCAAUUCACACAGCAGGUCAUUAGAACAGAGAGAACUGGUCAACUUUCUUCAGGAAGUAGGAUCCCCUCCAUUCAAGAGUGCUAUUCUUUUUUUUUCUCUCUCUCUCUCUUUUUCUCAGUGGAACUUAGUGAUUUGACUAAUCAGCAAAGCUGAUACUGAGAGCUCUUUGUAAGUAUGCAGCUUCUAUGUUAGGCUUCCCUAGCAUAUCUAGAGAAGAAUUUCUACAAAUUUUGGCCAAAAUUUUCUCCUCCCAAGGCACCAUUUUCCAGUGUGGCUUUAAAAAAAUACUAGAGUUAGGAAUUCCAGAUUUGCCUAGAUAUAACAAAGUAAACAAAAUGCUUUACCUCACUGCUGGGAUCCUCCGAGCUUAACUUUCCCUCCAGUCUUCUUACCUCUCCAGUCCAGCAUGACAACCCUGGCAUAUACCAAUCUCUGAAGCGUCUUCCAUUCUACACAGCUCUCCCAGAUAAAAAGAGCUUACCAGCAUAUAUGUAUUCACAGUGCCCACUGGUGUUACCACAACUGCUGUUACAAGAUUUAUAAAAGUCUGUGAACUGUGUAAUGUGAGGAUCCAAACAAAACUUUUCUUCCUUAAGAAGGGCUCAUUAUUCUUCUUGUAUAUCAGCAAAUUGAUUUCUACUAUAUUAGCACUAGAACUGUAAAAACAGUCUCCUGGAAUCUUGCAGCUAUCCAGGACCUCUUUUGUUGAGACUUUACUUAGCUACAUCAGAGAAUACUGAAAGUGAUUUGCCUUAAAUUUAAGUGUGAGACUAAGAUUACAGACACCCACCAAAGUCUUAGUGAUAGUUUGUUGCUACCUGGAGUUUUUGUGGUAUUAUUUUUUUUUUAGGGAGAGUUAUAUAUGAUCAGAAAAAUUAUCCAUAAAAAAUUGGGGUAUAUCCCUGGGAGCAAAUUAAGCAACUUAUAGACAGUGGAAAAUGUUCUAUGAGGAAAUGACUCAGAGAUCCAGGUAGUCUUCAAACAGCCAAGAAAUAGUUUGUGUCAUCUCUGCUUAUCUGUAUUUUAUGAGGCAGGAAUGUUGCCUCUAGCUAUUUGGAAGAACUUUUUUUUAAAUAAAUGUUUUCCCCCUUAGGCUUUAGUGGAUCAAACAAUUCUGUAAAUGUCUAUAGUCUAUUCUCCAAGAGUCCUCAUUAGAUUUGUUAUAAUCUCCAAUAACUGCCUUGAGCAAAUAAAUGACAGGGCCCACAGAAACUCACAAAUCAUAGAACAACACUCCCAAUGGGCUGAGAGGGGGCUUAGUGAUCUAUCCCAGCCUGACCUGGACUCAACUGGCAAGGGUGCAUCAUUGUUAUCUGUUCUUCCUAGACUCUACAUGAAAAUCACUGAAAGGUCUCAACACUGAUGAUAGGAAUCCAGGAUUUUCAUUUCAACAAUAGUUCUUAAACAUCUGGUUAGGUUCUAGGGAAUGCAAAGAUGAUUCAGGCAUAGUACUUCCUUUUGGGUAGGUAACUACUGGGUAACAGGAGCCCAGGAGAUUAAUCAUCACAAUUCAGAAACGUAAAUGUUAUUAUCAAGUUGCAAACAGUGCAAUGUUUGGAUCCCUAGCAC
rnacentral:lncRNA from 1 species